rnacentral:rRNA from 1 species
GACGAACGCUGGCGGCGUGCUUAAUACAUGCAAGUCGAACGGGGUCCAGCCAAUCGCAAGAUUGGGGACGACCCAGUGGCGAACGGGUGCGUAACACGUGAGGAACCUGCCCCGAUCUCUGGAAUAACAAGUGGAAACACUUGCUAAUACCGGAUGCCGUCGGACCGCCGCAUGGCGGACCGCCGAAAGAUUUAUCGGAUCGGGAGGGCCUCGCGGCCUAUCAGCUUGUUGGCGAGGUAACGGCUCACCAAGGCUUCGACGGGUAGCUGGUCUGAGAGGAUGAUCAGCCACACUGGGACUGAGACACGGCCCAGACUCCUACGGGAGGCAGCAGUAGGGAAUCUUGCACAAUGGGCGAAAGCCUGAUGCAGCAACGCCGCGUGCGGGAAGAAGGCCCUAGGGUUGUAAACCGCUUUCAGCAGGGAAGAAACUGACGGUACCUGUAGAAGAAGGUGUGGCCAACUACGUGCCAGCAGCCGCGGUGACACGUAGGCACCAAGCGUUGUCCGGAUUUAUUGGGCGUAAAGAGCUCGUAGGCGGUUCGGUAAGUCGGGUGUGAAAACUCUGGGCUCAACCCAGAGCCGCCACCCGAUACUGCUGUGACUCGAGUACGGUAGGGGAGCGGGGAACUCCUGGUGUAGCGGUGAAAUGCGCAGAUAUCAGGAAGAACACCAGUGGCGAAGGCGCCGCUCUGGGGCCGUGACUGACGCUGAGGAGCGAAAGCGUGGGUAGCAAACAGGAUUAGAUACCCUGGUAG